rnacentral:rRNA from 1 species
AACGAACGCUAGCGGCAGGCCUAACACAUGCAAGUCGAACGGACAUCGAAGUUGGUCCGCCAAUGGAGAUGUUAGUGGCAGACGGGUGAGGAAUACAUAGGAAUCUACCUAGUAGUAUGGAAUAGUCACUGGAAACGGUGAGUAAUACCACAUACGCCCUGCGGGGGAAAGAUUUAUCGCUAUUAAAUGAGCCUAUGCUGGAUUAGCUGGUUGGCGGGGUAAAUGCCUACUAAGGCGACGAUCCAUAGCUGGCCUGAGAGGGUGACCAGCCAACCUGGAGCUGAGAGGCGGACCAGACUCCUACGGGAGGCAGCAGUGUGGAAUGUUGAGAAAUGGGCGCAAGCCUGGCCCAGCCAUGCCGCAUGAGGGAAGAAGGCCUUCGUGUUGUAAGGCUCUUUCAGCGGGGAAGAUUAUGACGGUACCCGCAGAAUAAGUCCUGGCUAACUCCGUGCCAGCCGCCGCUGUAA